UAGGGAAUCUUCGGCAAUGGACGAAAGUCUGACCGAGCAACGCCGCGUGAGUGAAGAAGGUUUUCGGAUCGUAAAACUCUGUUGUUAGAGAAGAACAAGGACGUUAGUAACUGAACGUCCCCUGACGGUAUCUAACCAGAAAGCCACGGCUAACUACGUGCCAGCAGCCGCGGUAAUACGUAGGUGGCAAGCGUUGUCCGGAUUUAUUGGGCGUAAAGCGAGCGCAGGCGGUUUCUUAAGUCUGAUGUGAAAGCCCCCGGCUCAACCGGGGAGGGUCAUUGGAAACUGGGAGACUUGAGUGCAGAAGAGGGGAGUGGAAUUCCAUGUGUGGCGGUGAAAUGCGUAGAUAUAUGGGGGAACGCCAGUGGAGAAGGCGGCUCUCUGGUCUGUAACUGACGCUGAGGCUCGAAAGCGUGGGGAGCAAACAGG
rnacentral:rRNA from 1 species